UACGUAGGGGGCAAGCGUUGUCCGGAUUUACUGGGCGUAAAGAGCUCGUAGGCGGCUCAGUAAGUCAGGUGUGAAAACUCCAGGCUCAACCUGGAGACGCCACCUGAUACUGCUGUGGCUAGAGUCCGGUAGGGGAGCAUGGAAUUCCUGGUGUAGCGGUGAAAUGCGCAGAUAUCAGGAGGAACACCAGUGGCGAAGGCGGUGCUCUGGGCCGGAACUGACGCUGAGGAGCGAAAGCGUGGGGAGCAAACAGG
rnacentral:rRNA from 1 species